UAGGGAAUCUUCGGCAAUGGACGACAGUCUGACCGAGCAACGCCGCGUGAGUGAAGAAGGUUUUCGGAUCGUAAAACUCUGUUGUUAGAGAAGAACAAGGACGUUAGUAACUGAAUGUCCCCUGACGGUAUCUAACCAGAAAGCCACGGCUAACUACGUGCCAGCAGCCGCGGUAAUACGUAGGUGGCAAGCGUUGUCCGGAUUUAUUGGGCGUAAAGCGAGCGCAGGCGGUUUCUUAAGUCUGAUGUGAAAGCCCCCGGCUCAACCGGGGAGGGUCAUUGGAAACUGGGAGACUUGAGUGCAGAAGAGGAGAGUGGAAUUCCAUGUGUAGCGGUGAAAUGCGUAGAUAUAUGGAGGAACACCAGUGGCGAAGGCGGCUCUCUGGUCUGUAACUGACGCUGAGGCUCGAAAGCGUGGGGAGCAAACAGG
rnacentral:rRNA from 1 species